AACGAACGCUGGCGGCAGGCUUAACACAUGCAAGUCGAACGCCCCGCAAGGGGAGUGGCAGACGGGUGAGUAACGCGUGGGAAUCUACCUAGUUCUACGGAACAACAGAGGGAAACUUCUGCUAAUACCGUAUACGCCCUAUGGGGGAAAGAUUUAUCGGAAUUAGAUGAGCCCGCGUAAGAUUAGCUAGUUGGUGAGGUAAUGGCUCACCAAGGCGACGAUCUUUAGCUGGUCUGAGAGGAUGAUCAGCCACACUGGGACAGAGACACGGCCCAGACUCCUACGGGAGGCAGCAGUGGGGAAUAUUGGACAAUGGGCGCAAGCCUGAUCCAGCCAUGCCGCGUGAGUGAUGAAGGCCUUAGGGUUGUAGAGCUCUUUCAGUGGGGAAGAUAAUGACGGUACCCACAGAAGAAGCCCCGGCUAACUUCGUGCCAGCAGCCGCGGUAA
rnacentral:rRNA from 1 species